GAUGAACGCUGGCGGCGUGCCUAAUACAUGCAAGUCGAGCGAACAGACGAGGAGCUUGCUCCUUCGCCGUUAGCGGCGGACGGGUGAGUAACACGUAGGUAACCUACCUCUAAGACUGGGAUAACUCCGUGAAACCGGAGUUCAUACCGGAUAAUAUUUCGAACCGCAUGGUUCGAUAGUGAAAAAUGGCUUUGCUAUCACUUAUAGAUGGACCUGCGCCGUAUUAGCUAGUUGGUAAGGUAACGGCUUACCAAGGCAACGAUACGUAGCCGACCUGAGAGGGUGAUCGGCCACACUGGAACUGAGCCACGGUCAGGACUCCUACGGAAGGAAGCAGUAGGGAAUCUUCCGCAAUGGGCGAAAGCCGGCCGGGGCAACGCCGCGUGGGUGAUGAAGGUCUUCGGAUCGUAAAACUCUGUUAUUAGGGAAGAACAAACGUGUAAGUAACUGGGCACGUAUUGACGGUACCUAAUCAGAAAGCCACGGCUAACUACGUG
rnacentral:rRNA from 1 species